rnacentral:rRNA from 1 species
AUUGAACGCUGGCGGCAUGCUUUACACAUGCAAGUCGAACGGCAGCACGGGUGCUUGCACCUGGUGGCGAGUGGCGGACGGGUGAGUAAUACAUCGGAACGUGUCCUGAAGUGGGGGAUAACGCAUCGAAAGAUGUGCUAAUACCGCAUAUACUCUGAGGAGUAAAGUAGGGGAUCGAAAGACCUUAUGCUUUUGGAGCGGCCGAUGUCUGAUUAGCUAGUUGGUGGGGUAAUUGCCCACCAAGGCGACGAUCAGUAGUUGGUCUGAGAGGACGACCAGCCACACUGGGACUGAGACACGGUCCAGACUCCUACGGGAGGCAGCAGUGGGGAAUUUUGGACAAUGGGGGAAACCCUGAUCCAGCCAUUCCGCGUGAGUGAAGAAGGCC